AUACAGCUGAAGAAUCCCAAAUAAAACAAAAACGCGCGUCCUGUAU
rnacentral:hammerhead_ribozyme from 1 species